GCAGCGAUGGGCGCAUCCUUCACACCGGGGCGCUGCAGAGGCGCUUUCUCCAAAAGCAAGAAGCAUUUAGUAAAUCUGAAAAAGGGGAUGAAACAAAGAUUGAACUGAUGCUGUUGGAAAGCCUUUGCUUUGCUCCUGUCAAGUUUGCUUUGGGGGUUUGUGUUUAGUUUUCGCGUCGAGAUAAGCUGUAUUCAGCCGUGGACAGCGGCUCGGCUUGUGAGAGCCCUGUGAACUGUAGGAAAGGGUCAGAGAAUGCUGCGGGCUCUUGUCGAGAGGCUGCCUGAGGAAAAGGAGCAGCAGUUCUCACCGGGACACCGCCGCGGUGUCAGUAGAUGUGCGGCUGCCGGUGGCAGGGAGCCUCGGUGGCGCCGGGCCCGGCUCGGUGCCGCCCGCGCUGCUGGGACCCGUCCUUGGCCCGGCUCCCGCCGCUGGCCCGGCGCGCUUGGGCCGGCCCGGGGCCGAGCUGGCUGCGGGAGCCGGCUCUCCGCGCCAGGUGCGGGUGCUCUAACUCGUGUCUUCGACAUUGUUCCAUAGCUUUGGUAUAAAGGAUUCAGCUGCUGCCUUCGCGGCAGCGUGUGCUUUGGCACGGGUGGGGAGCGGGCUCUAGUCGCGGUGUCACAGAACGCUCUGAAUGCACUGAAGCUGGGCAGAGGAGGCUCCGAGUUAGGCCCGGCGUCUCAGACCGGACGUGACAGAAGAUGAGGGGAAAAGCUACGGAAACAGUGGAGGAUGCGGAGGAAAUGCUCUCUGAGGAGAGCUUCAAGGCCGCGGCCCUGGCUCAGAGGGGAGCGCUUGCAGGAGGAGGCUGGCACAGCAGUGAGGCGGCUCUGGAGCAGGUGCCGGGUGAGAAUCCGCUGCCUCGGCCCGCUUCCCCGUCGCUCGGGCCCUCGCGCCGUCACUGCCAGCGACGCUGCCGCCGCCUGUCCCGGGCUCCCGCCUCGGCGCAGGGGUUGUCCCCGCUCCACGAGGCUGUUCCUGGAGAACGUGGCUCCUGUCACUGCCGGGUCCCCUCCGUGCUGCGUGUGCGCAGAUGGGCGGGACACGGCGCCGGGGACGUGGCUGCGGCGCUUUGUGCGGUGCCAGCAGCUGCGAGAGGCCUGGCAGGACAGCAGGGAGCUCUCAUGGCCUUGGGAAGCAAACCGUGUUGCCCCUCCUGAUGCGCUGCUGAAGCGCAGUCCUGCAGCCAGCCUUGAGAAGGCUUCACAGGUGAAAAGAAAAAGCAAUAAUUGAGAGACAAGUGUGUUGGAGGUGGUUGGUGACGUCAGCUGAGCAGGCUCACUCCGCGGAGGAGCCCGAGCAGCCGCGGCUGUGGCGCGGCUCAGGCAGCGCCUCAGCUCUCAGGGCCUGGCAACGACAAACUGCAUCUCACGAGGGGAAACAGACGGGUAUUGCUCUGAUGGGUUUCGGAAAGAAACAAGUGUGGUGUUCUGCAGCAUUUGUUCUUGGAUGUGUGCGGCCAGAGCGCAGCUGGGGCUAGAAGGGCCCUCCAGAGAUGCCCCCAGCCCCAGCUCUGGCACUGCAGCUGCCCACGACCCUCGCACUGCAGGCACAGUGCUGCACACACCUCUGCCCAGCUCACACCAAAGCAAGGAUUCACUGAGCUUCCAAGAACCAUCUCGUACAACCACCCUGAAGGCUCCCACAGCCCGGGAGCAGCUGCCGCGCUGGCACUGCCGGACCCAGAGCCGCCGUGCCAUCCCGGGGAGCAGAGGGGCAGGGGGAGACGGGAGGGCGCCUGCCGAGCCCCUGGGGGAUGGCCGGGCUCGAGGGAAGGGCAGCGGCAGCUGGGCAUACCCAGAGCCUCGUCAGCCCCGGCUCAGGCCCCUGGUGCCCGAGCACCGCGGGCCCCAUGGCACAGAGGCUCCUCCCAGGGAAAAGCCAGUCAAUCCCUGCUCGGUGUGAAUGGCCGAGCCUCAACAGCCAGCAGAGCCCUGCCUUGCCCACAGCAGAGUGAACACAGCUUGCGUUUGAAAAGAACUUUAUUUAAAAUCAGCGAUGAUACAGACUGCCCCCGCUGUCACAGCACAAGGUGUCCCAGCACCAGGUCCCCGUGUCCUGGGCAGCCCCGGCUCACAGCAGUCCAGUGAUUCCAUAUGGAAAUACAACGUGUACAGAUCUGCUCCUUCACGGCUAACAGGCAAUUCAGUAACCUCAACCCAUUUUGUUUUCUAUGAUUUCUAGUGUAACCAGACUUAAAAUUUGUCUUCUAAGAAAUCUGGAGAAAUCUUCC
rnacentral:lncRNA from 1 species